rnacentral:rRNA from 1 species
CAGUCGCCGCGGUAAAACGGAGGGGGCUAGCGUUGUUCGGAAUUACUGGGCGUAAAGCGCACGUAGGCGGCUUGGUAAGUUAGAGGUGAAAGCCCGGAGCUCAACUCCGGAAUUGCCUUUAAGACUGCCGAGCUAGCAGGUGAGAGAGGUAAGUGGAAUUCCGAGUGUAGAGGUGAAAUUCGUAGAUAUUCGGAAGAACACCAGUGGCGAAGGCGGCUUACUGGCUCAUACUGGACGCUGAGGUGCGAAAGCGUGGGGAGCAAACAGGAUUAGAUACCCCUGUAGUCCCUGUCUCUUAUAU